rnacentral:rRNA from 1 species
UACAGGGGGUGCAAACGUUGCUCGGAAUCAUUGGGCGUAAAGCGCACGUAGGCGGUCUGUUAUGUCGGAUGUGAAAGCCCUUGGCUCAACUGAGGAAGUGCAUCCGAAACUGGCAGGCUAGAGUACUAAAGAGGAUCGCGGAAUUCCCGGUGUAGAGGUGAAAUUCGUAGAUAUCGGGAGGAACACCGGUGGCGAAGGCGGCGAUCUGGGUAGAUACUGACGCUAAGGCGCGAAAAGCGUGGGGAGCGAACAGG